GUGAGCGCCGAGGACAAGCGCCACGGAGAGGUGGCCGCGGAGUUCGCGGGCUUUUGGAGGCUGCAGCGGAAGAAGCCCCUGCCCGAGGCGCCGCCUCGGCUGCCGACGAGCGAGGAGCGCAACCUCGCGGCGGAGAGCGGGGUGCCGCCGGCAUGGCGACUGCAGGUCUUCCAUCGAGUAAAGCGCGACGACCUCGUCGUCUUAACCGCACCGGAUGGCGCGCACGAGUUCACGAGCAAAGCCGGUCUCAGAGCUAUGGCGGGCACAG
rnacentral:ribozyme from 1 species